rnacentral:misc_RNA from 1 species
GCAAACUUGGUCAUUUAGAGGAAGUAAAAGUCGUAACAAGGUUUCCGUAGGUGAACCUGCGGAAGGAUCAUUAUCGAGUUCUAGGGUCCCCUCCUGGGGGCCCGAACCUCCAUCCCUUGUUGCCAUAUACUCUGUUGCUUUGGCGAGCCGCAGCCUCUCCGGCUCCGCUGGAACCUGACUCUCAGGUGCCCACGCGCGUGCUCGCCAAAAGCCCCCUUAAACUUCGUUUUGAAAAUCUGUCUGAGCAAUAAAUCAAUAGCUGAAAAACUUUCAACAACGGAUCUCUUGGUUCCAGCAUCGAUGAAGAACGCAGC